GAAGAUUCGCAAAUGUAGGUCUAAAUCCAGUGUAGUACGUUGAAGGGAACUUUUCCCGAAUUGCCCACACAACACAUGAUGGCAGCACAUGACGGUUCCCUUCGCCAAGGUGCCCCCAGAGCCAGGAUGCACACUGCCGGUCUGCUGCUUCAUGGCCGUGGGCCAGCAUGUCAUUUAUUGAACUUGACACUGGAGAUGACACAUUUUGUUUGACAACUUCAAUUUGAGCUUUCAGAAAGCAGCUUGCAGCUUUCAGAGAAACAGUGACUACCUAUAUUACUCUGACACUCAUGCAAUCACCUCUGGAAGAGAGCAUUACGGAUGGUCUGGAGGAAUGCAUGUGGAGACAUCUGAAGACUCUAAACAAAUUUUAUGAAAUGGUAAUGCAGCUGCGUUUGUGUUUCACUGGUACGUUGGAGUCUUACAAUUUCCCUUUGACUUUUGUUGCGCAUGAGAGCAUCGUCAUGGAUGGCCUGGAA